rnacentral:rRNA from 1 species
CCUACGGGAGGCAGCAGUGGGGAAUAUUGGGCAAUGGAGGAAACUCUGCCCCCGCAAUGCCGCGUGAAUGAAGAAGGUCUUCGGAUUGUAAAGUUCUUUAGUCAGGGAAGUAUACAAUGACGGUACCUUAAGACUAAGCUCCGGCUAACUACGUGCCAGCAGCCGCGGUAAUACGUAGGGAGCAAGCGUUGUUCGGAAUGCCUGGGCGUAAAGGGUGCGUAGGCGGUUAUACAAGUUAGAAGUGAAAUACCCGGGGCUUAACUCGGGUGCUGCUUCUAAAACUGUAAGACUUGAGUGCAGUAGAGGUUAGUGGAAUGCAUGGUGUAGCGGUGGAAUGCGUAGAUAGUAGGAGGAACACCAGAUGCGAAGGCGGCUAACUGGACUGCAACUGACGCUGAGGCACGAAAGUGUGGGGAGCAAACAGGAUUAGAUACCCGUGUAGUC